rnacentral:miRNA from 1 species
GGAGGCCCUGGGCUGUGGG